UUAAACAGACAAACAAAAAUCCACUUGUAUGAGUGGGAUUAGUCCGUUACUGGGUAACCUAAGAUACUAUCUGUACCUGAUGACUUCACAGGUGAGUUAAGUAUAAUCUCAGGAAAGUAGAGCUGGAAUGUGACUAUAAUAGAGGAGAAAGAAACAUAAUCAAUAAUAAUAUUCCUUGUCUAGAGAAAGACUGGAUAAAUAUAAAUAGAACAGACUGGAGCACAAAAGAAUUCUUAUCAACAUGGGUUAUAAUUUUCAUUGGAAGUCAACAAGUCUAAUUUAUACUUCUGAGUCUUGCAUUUGGAUAGCACUUCUCAUGUAUGACAAAAUUCAGUUUCCAGACCUGAGACUGGAAAUGUGAGGUGCUACAACCUUCCCCUGCCAUAGGCUCCUUCUCUGUCAUGGAAACAACCAGAGGAUGCUAGGAUGUUUCACUGGGAAGAGAGAAGUGAGAGUUAACACAUGUUUUUAAACUGUAUUCUUCUUUACCCUUAAUUUCUUUGCUGUGAUCAUUACCUACUGCCUAUUAGAUCACCAAUCUUCGGGCAAAGUGUUUGGGAAGCCGUGCUGCAGGUCAUGACUCUGCCUGUAGGCACUCCCCUGCCUGCCAAUCUGUAUACCCUGGUACUGGGUGGACUCCCUAUAGCUCACAUAAUGUCCACAUAUGACCAGGAUGCUGAGGCCCUGAAGAUGCCAAGUGGAGUUGGCAGGUGGAAAGAAUGACUGCGCUUUCUCCAUCCCCACUGAUUCCUCCUGGUGCGUCACCUGGACCCGAACUGAAGUUGGAUGCCAGGGCAUAGAACUCCUCCUUGCUGAGCUGACCUUAGAUGAGAGAGAGGAGAAAAAACCACAGCCAGUGACUGCACAGUUCAUUCUGCACCGAAGACAGAGUCCAUGACAGCCCAGUGUGGCGGUGCUGGAAGGAGAGCCAUUUCCGGCUAACGAAGAGGGGCCCUAAGGGGGGAUCUGCAGCCUCUGUCCUGGGUGUGGCCAGCAGCCUCGUCUUGUGGGCGCUCUGUGGGUGGAGGGGUGAGCUCAUACCUUUUCCUCCUUGAAGCAGUCAUUCUAUGACAUUCAGACCCAACCAGGUCCCUUGGUCACAAAAUAAAGAAUGGU